rnacentral:rRNA from 1 species
GACGAACCGUGCAAACGUUGUUCGGAAUCACUGGGCAUAAAGGGCGCGUAGGCGGCUUAUCAAGUCAGGGGUGAAAUCCGGCAGCUCAACUGUCGAAGUGCCUUUGAUACUGAUGAGCUCGAGGGAGGUAGGGGUGUGCGGAACUUCUGGUGGAGCGGUGAAAUGCGCUGAUAUCAGAAGGAACGCCGGUGGCGAAAGCGGCGCACUGGACCUCUUCUGACGCUGAGGCGCGAAAGCUAGGGGAGCAAACGGG